CAGAAAACUUGCAGCAAGUUAGAUGCGACGCAGGCCCGAGGAGGUGGCUUUCGCCUCAACUUGGAAGGCUGGGCAUUAAGGGUGCGGACGCCAACCGCCUCGCCUGGGGAUUGGAAACCCAAAUCUCCCUCCUCCUUUUCCUCUUGCCCUCCUUUCAGCCCUCCCUGCCCUUUAUCCAUAUUUUCUUGCAAUUCUGUCGUAACUGCAUUUUCUGCAUUCUCGUGUCUUUCUAUAUUUCUUUUGCAAUCUCGUUUCCCCCAAUUUACCUUCUUUGUAAAUUUUUUUGGUGCUUACUUUCUAUGUCCAGAUUUAUCAGUUCGUUUUCAAAACAGUGUUUAAAAUGCAAUUAAUCUACCAGCAGGAGGUCACGGACACCCUGACUAAAAUAACUCCUGGGUCUUAAGAGACAAGUUCACCAGGUGUCAGGAAAAAGUGAAAUAAUAAUGAAAAUAAAUGAGUAUCUCAGUGACUAUAACAGCUUAUUACUCUAUUAUUAUAUCAGCUCUCACAGACUUUUUUUUUUAAAGAGAUAUAAUCUUUCCGGAAAAACACGAAAGUAUUUGACAAGGAGAAUCAUUAUAAUUAAGGCAGUAUGUAAAUUGUUCGUACUUAUAAAUAAAUUAUUUUAAUCAUGCAUAUCAGACUUUAGAAAUUAUCGUAGGUAAAUUCAAGAAACAAACUGGUUUUUCUUUUCAUGAUUAUUAGAAAGUGUAAAAAAGAAAACGCCCAAAGCUGUCUGUCUGUCUGCCCCCCAACAUAGACUGAUCAGUUCAGGGAGAAGCAUCCUGUUCUGCGUUCUGUUUAAGCGCAAAGCAGAGCCACAACGUGGUGUGUGGAGUGUCUUGCUGGCCAGGUUCCUGUCCAUUUCCUAGCAGGUGAGUGAACAUGAGGCUUCCUAUGUCAUGAACUGGCUACACUUAUAAUUUUCAUGAUGAUUAUAAUUAUUGCUCUUUCCUACACUUUGAACACAUUUGUAGUUCUCCUACUGAAAACCAGAGUUUGCUCUUGUUUACAAUUUGUUUACUUCAUUGAAUUUUUAAAACUUGUUACAAGUCAAUUGAACAUAUACAUUAAUCCCUUUUUUUAGGCCAAGAAAAAAAAAUAAAGAUGCAUUAGAAAGAUGCCUUUUAAGCUUCAUAAUUAUUAAUUGACAUUUUAUGAUGAAUAAUUAAUCAUCUGAAUAAUUUUGGUAUCUCUGAUCUGAACACAUAUUUGCAUAUCUAAUGCUUGAUUUUCCUAAAUGUGUUUUUUAAGAUUCAUUCUUUCAGGACAAAGAAAUAAAGCAAUAUUUUUAAAUGUAACAUUUCUGUACUUGUAAAAGUUUGCUAUUCUAUUCUAUUCUUUCUGGAGAUCCAUAAAACUUCUUAACAAUUUGUAAACCAUUUAUGUUGCAAGCACAUUGAAACACAUGGCAGCUGUACAAUUAGGGAAACGAUCUCUAUGUGAAAUCAAGUAACUGUUCUUCCUAAAUUCAGAUACAUGCACUAAUUACGCACCAUAUAUCCUUACUGAAAUGUGGUCAUUGAACUUCUUGGUUGAUUUACCAUGGCAUAAGCAGACAUAUGAGGCAUUUGACAAACAAUUCAAGUUUGGUAUUUAGAUAAGUUUUCAUUUUUUUUUUACUUAUUCAUAUGUAGGCUGCUUGAAGUUACUUAAAAAUGAUUAAGCACGUCUGUCCAUGUUAUUUUUAUGAUGCUGAAGUUCAAAUGUCUAUGUAAUUAUUCCUUUUAUGAUUGCAAGCAAUCUAUUCUAAACUUGUUUCUUUAGCUCCAGUGGGUACAGUAACGGCACCUAUCCCUCAGGGAUAGCUGAGGUAAUGCAUGAAGCUUCACUGUGUUGUAGUUUAUUAUAAGGAAAAUUUGGACAAACAGUAUUGAACAUGCAGGCCAGACAAAGCCAGUAACAAAUAGUUUUGAAUAUGGUAGGAUUUAUCGUUACUUAUGAUUUUCUGAGACUGUCCAAAGGAUGCCUCGUCACCAAAGCACAAAUAAAUGGGGCUUUUCCUUUCUGCUAAUUCAGCAGCUAAUUUAUUAUAUUCAAUGUGGUCCUAAUUUGGUUAUAAAUAUCAGAUUCCUUUGAAAGGGAAUUUAGCCCAAAUGUCUGAAUGUGACAUUCCCUGUGUCCUGUAAUCACAUACUGUCUUUGAGUUUAAAGGUUAAACGUGCAAAAGCCCAGAAGCAAUCUUAAGUAAGAGUCCGGAAUAAAAGGAGACAAACUCGCAAAUUUGGAGACAAGGAGUUUGGCUGCCACAGUGUUUUGCUUUAAGACCACUCAUAUUGAGGUGAGCACUCCCUUUAGUUACUGUGGCCUGGGCUUUAUGAUUAGCCCAGCAUCCAUAGUGGGGCUGAAUUCAGUUUAUUAACUGGGGAAUGAAUUCCCCUAGUCUCUUAAACGUCUGCAAGGCCAGAGUUUCUUUUUGAUGCAAAGCUGAAAAUCAAUGCAAAUGCUGGGUGGAAAGUCCUUCUACAUUUUGGCAGAACACUGGAGGCUUUGUGUUGUCUUUCAAGACCUGUAGGAGCAUUUAUAAUUAUCUGUAGUCCUUAAAGGGUCCUUUAAUUGUCUCCUUUCUUAAAGGAUCCAUUCUAUAUUUCCAAGGCUAAAACUACUACAGGGAACCUGUGGCAUUGGCUUACGGGUCUGGAGUGACCCUUGCCGUUCUGUGUUUCACCUGCUAAUGGGAUUACAACCAGCUUGCACCUACGAAUUGUCUGAUUUGUUUUAUAUUCCUCUGAAGUCUUUAACUCCCCAUAAGUUGCCAAAAGUUCAGAACUAUAAACUUUGGCCUGGCAGCUGAUGGGAUGCUUGAGCCAAGACCUGAAAGCCCAGACUCAACCCUCAGGACCCAGUGGUGGCAGGUAGGAACUGACUCCUCCUCCACUUUGCUCUCUGACCUCCACACGUACACCAUGACGUGUGCACCCACAACAGAAACACAAUAGCACAACUCAGUAAAUAAAUGCACACCAAAUAAUUUUAAACUUUGCGUUAUAUUUGGUUCUGGUUCCACACCAUUCUAAGGAUUGGCGGAGGCCAUGGUAAUCUGCAGUGUAAAGAAAGCUCUUUCUCUGGAGUUGACACAAGGCUAAAUCAUCUCACCUAUCAUUUAAUUCUGACAGAAGAUCCAAAGGCGUUAACCUUACACACCACAUUUCCAAGAGACUGUUGGCUUGGGAGAAUCAACGACUUACCCAGAAUUUAAUCAUCUGGCUGCUCAUGGGCCUUCCAUUCUGCUAAGUCCGUCAUCAAAGCCAAAGCUACACUCAUGGAACAACCAAUGUGGUCUUUCAAGGGCUCCUCCUGAUUCAUCUGUAAUCAGUGUUUGUGUGCUCAUCUCAACUCAGCCACAGUCUUCCUGGAUGCUGCACUUGGCCCGCGUCUUUCCAUGUUUUACUUUCCCUUCUAGGCCAACAUUGGUACUCACUUUUUUCAGUUACAGUUCAAGUUCUUAAAUACUUCUUCCGAUUUUGGUGCCUCAGGCUUUCAGAACGUGUUUCCCCCGACCCAGCUCUCUUUGCCAGGGUCCCCCACUCAGGAAAGCUGAGAGCAAUCCCCUCUCAAGGGAUUGCAGCUGUGGCCUAAGCACUGGGCUUAUGCAUUACAUGAUUCAGGACAGAGACAUCAUCACCCACACAUCGCAGAAUAGCUUUGGUUCUUCCUAUGACUUCCUCUAGCGUGCUUGAGUAGUACUUGACCAUUGUUGUAGUGUAUUCUACACUAGCUUACUUUAAUUAUCCUUGGUACUAGCAUAGCGUGCUGGCUAGAUUUGUGUCAACGUGGCAAAAGCUAGAGAGGGGAGGACUUCGAUUGCAAGGAUGCAUUGUCUUAAUUAGGGAUCCGUGUGGGAGAGUGGCCAUCUUUGGGUUUCCAUACAUAAGUAGGCUGAGGAAGUCGGUAAAGCAGCACCCCUCCAUGGCCUCUGCAUCAGCUCCUGGCUCCAGGUUCCUUCCCAGUUUGAAUUCCAGCCCUUCCCUGAAGAACAGUGAUAUGGAAGUGUAAGCUAAAUACAACCUUUCCUCUCCAGGUUGCUUGGUCAUGGUGUUUCACCACAGCAUAGCAUAGUUUCAAAUGUGCUUUGAAACGUACGUAGACCAGGAUUUAACUCCUUGUUUUGUGAGAAUUAAUCUUGUGUUGAGCAGAUACUGUUUAACCCCAUGAACCUCAGUUUAGAAAUGAAUAAAGAAUUCGUAGAUUUCAGCUGAUCGUGGCAGAAAAUUAUGACAACCUCCGUUAGGCAGACAUGUGGAUGAAUGCUCACGCCUGUCUGCGGGUAGCCUGGAAAAUGCAUGGUUAAAUGACAUGUGUGGUUGAAAAACCAGGGUGAACAUCACUUUAGGUGCUUGAUAUCUUUUUUUGUAAUGGCUUCAUUAUUUUUAUUUGUUUUAGUGAUUUUAUUAGGAAUUAUUUAAUGGGUUCUUGUAUCCCAAAAAAGAUUAAUGUUUACUGACAAUAAUGUCAAAGCGUAAUCGGCUUAUAAGAUUUUGUAAAUUCAUAAUAGAAAGAGUGGGUGCUAUGCUUGCAAACGCCAUGACACUAACAGCAGCGGUGGUAGAAAACUCUCUGUAAGCCAUGCCUGCUGGCUCAGGCCUAUAAACUCAGCAUUCAGAAGGCCGAGGCAGGAGGACCACUCGUUUGAGGCCAGCCUGGGUAACUUAGUAAGAUCCCAUGGCAACAUAGAAAGUAAGACGGCAUUGGUGAUGUAGGUCAGGGUUACAGCUCCCGUUCAACACGCGUGAACUCCUUAGUUCAAUCCCUAGUACCACAAAAUAAUACUUUUCAAAAUGAAAGCGAAUGGAAUCUGGUUCUGUAUUUCACACCUCCACUUGCAUGGUAAGGAGCACUUUUGUAGCUGAUUCUUCAUGUGUCCCCCACCCUUAGGGGAGGCACCCUUCCAAACAGUGUUCAGUGGUCAAAGAGUGCCAGCCAGGUCAAGGCCAAAAGAGGGUCUCUUGGCAAAAUUUCUAUAGCUGGACGGAAAUGGGAGGAGCAGAGGGACAGACAAGAUGGGAGAAAGCUAGCCUGCGUUGUCUUUUCCUCCAGGUUGAGAGCUGAAAAAUCUGCUUAAAAAGAAAUGUGAGACCACUUGCAUAACAGUUUUUUUUUUUUUAACAGUUUUGUUUCUUUCUCCCGCUGCAUAUUUGGAGUCCGGUUGUGUCAGCAGACCCUGGCAUGAUCUACUGUGUAUAUGACUUUUCUACCCUAUGCCCUAGAAAGAAGGGUGUCAAGGGAGGCCUGGCUCUGGACACAGGGAACAUAUUGUUGCAGUGAUUCUGCUACAGUGAAAACCAGACUCCUUCUCUGAAACUAACUUUGCUACACAUGCAAAAAAAAGAAGCCAUUCCCAUUAGUUUUUUCCUGGCCCACGGUAGAACCACAAGUAAGGCUUCUGUGGCAAAGGGGUGAUUUUUCUGGGUUGAGGGAAACUGGCUUACCUAUUGUUCUUGGCACAAAAAGAGGGGCACUCUUUGAGACAAGGGAGACAGAACAAAGUGGAAAGUUCACAAAACAUAUUAAUCUUCCCAAACAAAGAAAUAGCAAAUUAUUUUCCCUUUAAAACUUUGCUUAUUUGUGUGUUUAGAAGUUGGGAUUACAGUUUAGGGAAAUCAUCACAGCCCUGAGCUGUCUUGUCACCUACUAUCAGUGUGCAUUUAAUGCUGUGUUGAAAAGUUGGCCACAAGAGUUCUGCUGUGGCUACUCGGUAAGAUGAUCAUCUUGAAGUUUUGCUUCUCCUGGAGAGGAUUCUCGCAUAGCUGAGGUAGGUAUGCGGGUUGUGGGAAAUGCAUUAAUAAAUACCAUUUGAAAUCACAAUGGAUCUUGAAUUUGGGGCAACGCAGUGCCACACUUUGAAGCGAAUACCUUUCACUUGGAAAUGGUUAAGCUUGCUUCAAGUUAGGGUCUCCAAAUCACAGUCGAGUUGGCAAGGGAAGGUGAUCUCCGACGCGUGUGUUUCCCCCAGUUGCCUAUUAGAUACAAAUAUUGGAGAACACCUCAUUCCUUCAGAAGCUUUGUAGAGACAUAAACUAAUAACCUACUCCAGUUACACUCUGAGGUAAGAAUGGGUUGUGGCAAAGGAACCAAGUGGGGACUGUGCAUUCUUAGACCUGAUCAUUUCCCUUUGGACAAAACCCUGAGCUUGCAAGACUCCGAAGUCUAGCACAUACUGUUUUAGUCUUUCUUGUGUGUCUCCGUUACUAGGCAGCCUGAAGAAAUGGAGCAGAGGUGGGACUGAAUACACACACUCAUUCUCCUGACAGCACUGUAAAAUGGCAGCCUCCAUCAGCCAAAGGCCACAGGACUGUGGUGCAGAGCUAAGGCAACUUCAUGCUCAAAGCAGAAGAAAAGUAACCGAGACACUGUAGAACAUACUUUGAAUCCUAGCUCCUUGAGAGGCCUUUACAAGUAAGCGACUUCUGCAGGUCUUUGGCGCAUUUUACAUUUGUGGACUGUGACCUCUGAACUCGACCUUCAAGAAGGAAGUCUCAAUGAAGGAUGUACUUGUGUCCAGGUCUUAUGAUUUUUACCUUCAGUCAUGUCGCUUGGAAUCAUUCUUGCCCCAACAAGGGCUCUGCUAUCCUCUGUGGUUAGAUAAUCCCUUGGAUGAUGGUCAAACCGUCUGCAGUGCAUAAAAAUGCCAGCAUUCACUCCAUCCAGCUACCUUCAUGUUUAUAUGCACAGUACAUCUCUGUAGCCACACCUUGAUUUUGUGUUUAUGUGGUGUUUGGGGAUGUGUACCACUUAGCUACAGAAUGUUAAAAUUUCUUUCCUGGUCACUGUGCUGCAUGACUGAUCCAUUUCAUGUGAUAUAUUUAGUAUGGUUCAUUGCCCACUGGUCUUAUUAUUUAAUAAUUUGCAUUAAAUUGAAUUUUCUAUUUACAGGUGUAAAUGGAAAUUUUGGCUUCUGAGAGCAUAUUAUUUCCUGGCUAGAAUGUUCUUGGGUGAAUUAGAUCUGCCAUUAUUAGAUUGUACAUACCUGGACUAAGCUGGGGCUGUUUAAUGACAAAAUCCUUGUUAUUUUAUUUUAUUUUUUGUGAUUAGGCUUGAGUUUCUGAGGCCAGGCAAAUUUCAUCAAUUUAAGAGACAUUACUAUUACUCUACAGAAGUUAAAAACCACACCAAACUAACAAAACAAAACAUGUAUAUGUCUUGAUGGAUCAGAGGGAGUUGUAUUAGCUUCCUGUGACAAACUCUUCCUAGGGAGAUACAACACACACAUCUUCUCACCCCAGGUAGGGACCCCAUGACAGCCCAAAGUAUGAAUACCACCAAAGACUAACUUAGUGAACCCAUGUGUUUUAAAGGGGUUAUUUACAAGAGUAUGGGUAAUAGAUUAUUUACAGGAACAGAAAUGACACAAAAGAUAUCCAC
rnacentral:lncRNA from 1 species